rnacentral:rRNA from 1 species
UGAGGAAUAUUGGUCAAUGGGCGAGAGCCUGAACCAGCCAAGUCGCGUGAGGGAAGACGGUCCUAUGGAUUGUAAACCUCUUUUGUCGGGGAGCAAAAAGGCCUCGUGAGGCCACAAGUGAGAGUACCCGAAGAAAAAGCAUCGGCUAACUCCGUGCC